GAGGUUGAACCUCGAGAGGGGGACCAAGCAGGUUUUCAAAUAAAGAUGUUCACAGAAAAGAGUUGUAGUGGGUUGCUUGUUUUCGUAUUGGAAGCUUUUGAAGAGCUAGGCCUUGAUGUUCUUCAAGCUAGGGUUUCUUGCUCUGGCAAUUUUCUUUUGGAAGCAGUGACCACGAUUAACAAUGAUAACCAAAAUGGUGAUGAUCAUCACAAAGAUGCCGAGGUAGUAAGAGAAGCGAUGUUGCAAGCCAUUCAAAGCUGGAAUGAAGUUUCCCAAUAAGAAAUGCAAACAACUCUCAUCUUCAUUCUUCAUAGCUUGUACCAUUAUCUUAUCUUUUCUGCCAUUACUUCCUCGCCCUCUUGGCCUCUUCACUAGCUAAUGUUUUCUAGCUCUAUCAUAA